rnacentral:rRNA from 1 species
UACGUAGGGGGCUAGCGUUGUCCGGAAUUACUGGGCGUAAAGGGCGCGUAGGCGGCACAGCAAGUCGGGAGUGAAAGCCCGGGGCUCAACCCCGGAACGGCUUUCGAAACUGCUGAGCUAGAGUACAGAAGGGGCAACCGGAAUUCCCAGUGUAGCGGUGAAAUGCGUAGAUAUUGGGAAGAACACCUGAGGCGAAGGCGGGUUGCUGGGCUGAUACUGACGCUGAGGCGCGAAAGCCAGGGGAGCAAACGGG